CUUGAUCGAGCCCAGGUAGAGCGGCUCGGAGCGGUCCUGCCCGUACACGGCCAGCAGCGCCUGCGCCUC
rnacentral:antisense_RNA from 1 species